UACGAAGGGGGCUAGCGUUGUUCGGAAUUACUGGGCGUAAAGCGCACGUAGGCGGAUACUUAAGUCAGGGGUGAAAUCCCGGGGCUCAACCCCGGAACUGCCUUUGAUACUGGGUAUCUCGAGUCCGGAAGAGGUGAGUGGAACUCCUAGUGUAGAGGUGGAAUUCGUAGAUAUUAGGAAGAACACCAGUGGCGAAGGCGGCUCACUGGUCCGGUACUGACGCUCAUGCACGAAAGCGUGGGGAGCAAACAGG
rnacentral:rRNA from 1 species